rnacentral:tRNA from 1 species
GGGGGUAUAGCUGAGUGGGAGGUUGCACGCUUAGCACAUGCAAGGUCCUGGGUUCAAUCCCCAGUACCUCCA